CAGUUCAUGCCUUUGGUUGGGAUAGAUUGGUCACAAACUGGGGUUGCAUAUUUAUUCUCAGCUAUUAAGGAUAACGGUUAUCAAUUCCUUUAUCUAAGUGCACGAGCAAUUGCUCAAGCCUAUCUUACCAGACAGUUCCUAGUCAACCUUAAGCAGGAUGGGAAGGGUCUGCCAGAUGGUCCUGUUGUCAUAUCACCUGAUGGACUUUUUCCGUCUCUGUAUCGUGAAGUCAUCAGAAGGGCUCCUCAUGAAUUCAAGAUUGCAUGUCUGGAGGAGAUCAAGGCAUUGUUUCCUUCUGAUUGCAACCCCUUCUAUGCUGGUUUUGGUAAUAGAGAUACUGAUGAGAUUAGCUACCUAAAGGUUGGAAUCCCAAAGGGAAAGAUCUUCAUCAUUAAUCCCAAGGGUGAGGUUGCCGUGAACCGCCUUGUUGACACAAGAUCGUAUACUUCCCUUCAUGCUCUUGUGCAUGGCAUGUUCCCAGCCAGGACAUCGUCUGAGCAGGAGGAUUAUAAUUCAUGGA
rnacentral:misc_RNA from 1 species